rnacentral:tRNA from 15 species
AGCACGAGCGAGUCUGGUGGGAGGUGCAGAUUUCAAAA